rnacentral:sRNA from 1 species
AGAAAGGAUCAUCCAGUCUAAAUGGAAUUAUAGCCAGAUACAAAAGCUGGCUGUGGGGAACCCGCAAGCACGGGGAUAGGCUCAUUUGUGUGAGUGCAGUAGCGCAAUCGAAUUAGUACCUGGACACAUCUCUCCCAAACAACCAAUUCGAGAACCAGGAGAGCAAUAUCCUCAGCCGAUUUCUCCAACUCAUGCUCAUGGAUAGGUAUGCUCCUUUCCAAAUCAGCCAUGCCGGGUAGCCUUUUAUACCGCGAAAAAAUCCAUUGUUGUUUGGCUCACUACCGCCCUCAUGUGGCAGCUGCAUCAACGCUUUAGAACUGCCAAUAUAUGCAAGGACUCCGAGAUUCUUGAACGAGAAGCCGGGUGACAGGUCAAGAUUACCCCGAUUGAGUACAUUGGCCAGCCAGAUGGCUUCUUGACUUGUCGCUUGAGCGGUCGCUGGGGGGGAGCCAGACUCUAACAUACAGGUGGCUAUCCACGAGAAGGGCGCCAACUUUAGGAGUCUUAUGCACUUUCCAGGUUGUAUUUUGGGGUUCAGUGACAGGGCUUCCAGUGUCCUUUGAGAGAGCAGACAAUAUUGGAAAUGGAUCGAUUGUAUUGAGUGCUUUGUUGACGAAUGGGCCAAUUUCGUUACCUG